rnacentral:piRNA from 1 species
GGGUAUGCAGGCAGCGAUGGGCUCAG